CACGGUCAGACACGGUUCUAGGCCUCUCCCCACCGUCAUACGCCCAUUGGAAGCCCCGGGAGGGCUUUCCUGUUCCCCGGCAGCCUUUGCGGGGCGGAAGGGAGGCCUCUCCUCUCCCUCGGCCGCCAUGGAAGGCUUCUUAAAAGGCUGCAAGGCCGCGCUGCAGGUCACCAAGAGCAUCCUCUUUUGCCCCAGAAACCAUACAUGCCACCUUCUUCCAAAAUGGACGAUUCCUCUAAAAAACGAGUUGGUGGCUGCCUCACAUGCUUCCUUGGGUGUAAGUACAGCAGAUGUGGCCCUGGAGGUCCUCCAGAGACUGCUUAGGUAAAGUUUUCCUCUGACAUUAAGUCUAGUCGUGUCCAACACUGGGGGUUGGUGCUCAUCUCCAUUUCAAAGCCGAAGAGCCGGCGUUGUCCAUAGACACCUCCAAGGUCAUGUGGCCACUGGCAUGACUGCAUGGAGCGCCGUUACCUUCCCGCCGGAGCAGUACCUGUUGAUCUACUCAC
rnacentral:lncRNA from 11 species